rfam:Sus scrofa isolate TJ Tabasco breed Duroc chromosome 9, whole genome shotgun sequence.
UCCCUGGUGGCCCAGUGGUUAAAGACUCAGCAUUGUCACUGCUGUGACUCAGGUUCAAUCCCUGGCUGGGGAA